rnacentral:lncRNA from 1 species
CUUGACCAUUAGAAUUCUGUCAAAUUUUCCACAAAGUCCAGGAAAUGGCAUUUCAGAGACUCUAAAUUUAAAAAUUUCCUCGGGCUUUCGGCCCUCGCUUUCAGCCCCCCCCCCCUAAUCGAAAAGAGCUUCCUGCCCUGACAUACGCUCCUGCCGUAGUGUGGAUUGGUGCAUUGUGUAGCCCAAUACAUGCAUUUGAAUUGUGUUGCUGCUUUUAUACCGAUGCAAUUUAAAAGUUUUGAGAAAAAAUCCUGCAUAGAUGAAUGAGUACAUAAAAAUAUUGAGCACCAAAAAUUCACACAUGCAACUUCCCCAUCAGAUAUCUAAUGAUCUACCCCUUACCACAUAUAUCCUAGGGGUGGCAAUUUUGUAUAUUUUUGUGUUAUUUGCAUAUCUCCAAAACUCUUACUUUUGUCCUACUUUUCUACACUUUUUCCUACUUUAUUCCUACUUUUCCUAAAAUUCUAGUCCUACUUUUGUCCUACUUUUCUACACAAGGAUGCCAGAAAGCCUGUCAGUGGCGUAAUGGAACCUCCUGAGCCCUAACACCAAAACACCCUCCAGUUUUGUCACUGCUGUGAUCAAUAGUUUCAAAAAUCCCAGUGCUCAGAAUAUUGCAAAAAUAGCAUGUUGCUUGUGACACAAAAUACAAC